UGUACACGCUGUGACUAGCAUAUCAAUAAGCGGAGGAAAAGAAACUAACAAGGAUUCCCCUAGUAACGGCGAGUGAAGCGGGAAGAGCUCAAAUUUGAAAUCUUAAAGGGUUUCCCUUUACGAAUUGUAGUUUAAAGAAGUGUUUUCUGUUGAGGUUUUGGUAAAAGUUCUUUGGAAUAGGACAUCAUAGAGGGUGAGAAUCCCGUAUUUGACCUUUACUUUCAACUUUGUGAUACACUUUCAAAGAGUCGGAUUGUUUGGGAAUGCAGUCCAAAAUGGGUGGUAAAUUUCAUCUAAAGCUAAAUAUUGGCGAGAGACCGAUAGCGAACAAGCACCGUGAGGGAAAGAUGAAAAGAACUUUGAAAAGAGAGUUAAACAGUACGUGAAAUUGUCAAAAGGGAAGCGUUUGACACCAGUGUUGUUUUUCUGAAAAUCAAUUAAAGAACUGUUUAUGCUAAGCUGUUUAGACUUUAUCAGCUAUCUGUUUAGUUUUGAGCUUUUCUUUAAUGCACUUUUCAGUUAACAAGUCAACAUCAAUUUCUUUUGCUGUAAAAAAGCUUGAGGAAGGUGGCUUGAGAUUCGUCUUAAGUGUUUAUAGCCUCUUGCCUAUGCAGUCGGAGAGAUUGAGGUCUGCAGCGUAGAUCCUUCGGGGCUAAAUGCAUUUGUGCUAAGUUAUAGCAUUUUAUAGACAACUUGUUGACUAUGAUUUGUCUUGUAGCUUACUCGCUUAUGUUAUUUUACCUACGCUUAGGAUGUUGAAGUCAUCGUAUCGCGC
rnacentral:rRNA from 1 species